rnacentral:tRNA from 1 species
GGGGAUUUAGCUUAGCGGCAUAAGCGCCUGCCUUGUAAGCAGGCAAUCGCCAGUUCGAUCCUGGUACCA